AUUUUUGCACGCGUCGAUAUAGUUCUCUUUAAAUAGGGAGGGGGUGGGGUGGGCCCCUAUCUGAAAACCUUUCUGCAAGUUUUCGCAGCGGAGUGAGUGGGGAAAGAGAUUUCUAUUCAUCGGCAAAAUAGGUAGUGCGGGAAGAUUUUCAAGUCACUGAAGGAAGCAAAGAAGUCGCAAUGGGAAGUUCUGUUGUUGAUGAAGAACGGAUUGAUGAUCGUAGUUGGUCGUAAGUUAAUGGCACCGAUGUUCCAGAAGAUGGACUGAUAGUUAUGUUCUACAAUACGGACGUCUACCAGGACAAAAAUAAUUUGGCUUUUCACUAACAUAGUUUAUUGAUGAUUCUUUGAUUAUCUAUUUAGUUUCAAUUAUUAUCUGUAGAUAGUGCUCUGUUCCUCACUUUCUUCAAGAAUCUUUAGGGGCAGAGGAUUAUCCAUCCCCCCGGGUUAUUGUAUAAAGUGAAUAGAAUAUUUUUUCUUCUUUGAUUUA